CUUGCUCUCUGAUUCAGCGGCGGACGGGUGAGUAAUGCCUAGGAAUCUGCCUGGUAGUGGGGGACAACGUUUCGAAAGGAACGCUAAUACCGCAUACGUCCUACGGGAGAAAGUGGGGGAUCUUCGGACCUCACGCUAUCAGAUGAGCCUAGGUCGGAUUAGCUAGUUGGUGGGGUAACGGCUCACCAAGGCGACGAUCCGUAACUGGUCUGAGAGGAUGAUCAGUCACACUGGAACUGAGACACGGUCCAGACUCCUACGGGAGGCAGCAGUGGGGAAUAUUGGACAAUGGGCGAAAGCCUGAUCCAGCCAUGCCGCGUGUGUGAAGAAGGCCCUCGGGUCGUAAAGCACUUUAAGCUGGGAGGAAGGGUUGUAACCUAAUACGUUGCAGCUUUGACGUUACCAGCAGAAUAAGCACCGGCUAACUCUGUGCCAGCAGCCGCGGUAAUACAGAGGGUGCAAGCGUUAAUCGGAAUUACUGGGCGUAAAGCGCGCGUAGGUGGCUUGGUAAGUUGAAUGUGAAAUCCCCGGGCUCAACCUGGGAACUGCAUCCAAAACUGCCUGGCUAGAGUACGGUAGAGGGUGGUGGAAUUUCCUGUGUAGCGGUGAAAUGCGUAGAUAUAGGAAGGAACACCAGUGGCGAAGGCGACCACCUGGACUGAUACUGACACUGAGGUGCGAAAGCGUGGGGAGCAAACAGGAUUAGAUACCCUGGUAGUCCACGCCGUAAACGAUGUCAACUAGCCGUUGGGGUCCUUGAGACUUUAGUGGCGCAGCUAACGCAAUAAGUUGACCGCCUGGGGGAGUACGGCCGCAAGGUUAAAACUCAAAUGAAAUUGACGGGGGCCCGCACAAGCGGUGGAACCAGGUGGUUUAAUUCGAAGCAACGCGAAGAACCUUACCAGGCCUUGACAUGCAGAGAACUUUCCAGAAAAUGGAGAGGUGCCUUCGGGAGCUCUGACACAGGUGCUUGCAUGGCUGUCGUCAGCUCGUGUCCUGAAAAUGUUUGGGUUAAGUCCCGUAACGAGCGCAACCCUUGUCCUUAGUUACCAG
rnacentral:rRNA from 2 species